AAUAUAGUGGCCGAGUUUUAGGUAUUAGACUGUAAAUCUAACAACGAGACCAGUUCUCCUAUAUUA
rnacentral:tRNA from 1 species